CUCCCGCCGCGCCCUCCUGCUCCCGGCCCGGCUCCGCUUCCCGCCGCGGCCGCCUCCGAACCGCUCAGAAAAGCUCGUCCUCGCCAGAAGCGCCGAGGCGGCGGCACCGGCCCCCCGGCAGCGCAGGGCAGAGCCGGGCGCCCCCGGGGCCGCCUCCCGCCGCGGCUCCGCCCGGCCCGGCCCCGCUCGGGGCGGCAUUUGCCAACUUUUCGAGGCGGCGGCGACGGCGGCGGCGACGUGGGGGCCCGGCCGGCCGCCGGCAUGAGCCCUGCGGCGGGGCUGGGGGGCGGCAGCGCCGGGCGAGCGCCCCUCGCCGCCGCGCCGGGCCGCCAUGCCCAAGGAGGGGGCGCCGCUUCCCGCCUCUGCCUGCCCUCGGCCGCGCCCUUCCUCUGCCUCCAGCUGGGCAUGAGGCGCUCGUGGUGCCCCGAGGAGAAGGGGGCGGCGGGGGCGGGGGCGGGGGCGGGGCGGGCUGCCCUCUCGGCCCGCGGCUCGGAGCCGCCCCCGGCGGCGGGUGAGCUACGUGCGGAGCGGCCGGCGGGGGAGCGCCGAGCCCGGCUGCUGCCCCCUGCAGCCCCCGGCGGCCGCCGCAGGAAGCGUAGGAGAUCCAAACUGGGGAUCCUGGAAGUCUCGCGCUGCGGUGUGCUUUGAGGUCGACAGAAGUGGUGUCACGGUUGUCCCUGAGAAGCUGCACCUGUGGCCUUUAGCCCAUCUGAACCUUUUCCUGCUGCUAAGAUGUUAUCCCUACCCCAGAAGAGGUCUCCACAGGCUCUUGGCAUGAUGAGCAGUCUGAGCAGAUCAUGGCGGCUUCCUAGAAGGACGUCUUGCGGUCAGAGGUUUGGGAUGGUGCUGCUCGGCUGCAAGAAAAGUGGAGAAUUUUAGUGCCGAAGCUGGAUAAGGUAAACAGCGAGCUGGAAAGACAGCCUUGGUCCAGAACUGCCAGGCUUGCCUAACAGACUGGGAAAAUUGAAACGCACCCAACAUGAGUAAGCUGAAGAAAAAUUCCUGACCCUUUGCUUUCCCUGUGUUUGAAUGCCAUUUUAUUUGCUCAGGGCCAUAAAGAAGUAUUUCUAAGACGUGGUCCACCUGAGAAUUAAUGUUAGUAAGUGCAUUUUUAAUUAGGUUCAACCACAGUAAUGAUCGUAAGGCCUUUGGAGACGUGGAUGGAGACCAUCAUUAGCAUCUGGAGUUCAGUAAGUGAAGAAUGUAAGUACUAACCCACGCUCACAGCAGCACCAGCGGCAGGGUGCUGGCUUCUUCAGCAGCCUCCAUGCCAGCUUUGGUUUUGGCAGAUACCAGAUGCCCAUCGCUCCGGAAUCAUUUGUUAUUCAGGAGAAGCAAAUUCAAACAUUUAUUGUUUGAAAUGUUCUUUGUAGUCUUUCGGGGGGAUGAGCCAGCUUUCAAAGGCUAGGAAAGAGUAUUUUGUCACCUUCUAUUUUGAGACCCUGUUGUCAGAACCCAGUAGUAAUGUUCUGCGUAGAGGAGUGCAGAUACUUAACCUGGAAUGACCCUGAAGAUGAGCAAAUGGGAUUUUGCUAGAGAUAGGACCAGCUUUCUGGUCAAAAUAAGUCAUUCAGAUGUUUGCCUUGACAAGGAUAAAACCAAAGUUACUUGUGGAAUGGCUAAACCUUCUGCUGUCAUGGACUGAACUUUGUCUGGGUUUGGUCAACAUUUAGGGACGUGGAUACCCAGAAUGGCAGGACAUCUUGGGAUGUCUGUAUGAGUUAUUACAUAGUGUAGACAUGCAGAUGGUAUAGAAGACAUUUAUUCAGAUGAGGAUGGUCCGUGAACGUGCUCCUUGUUUGGCCAUUUUUUGUCUCCCUGCUUUCUUGCUGAUCAUCACUAUGCGAUCUGGGAACUGUCCUGGUCAGAAGCAGCCAAACGUGCUGUGAGAUCAGUAGCGUAUGAAUAUGUCAGCAAUGAUGUCUGAUGGAGAGAAAAGGUAUACUAAAUGGAAAAGGUUCUGUCAAUCACCUGCAUAUGUUAACGCUUUGAGACUGUAACACAGGCUUCAUGGUGCUGAAAUGCAUUGCAGAUCACUGAUACCCAUCUUCUUCCUGUAAAAUUGUUUUGCACUGUACUUUUUUUGCACUGUGCUUUCUACACAUACAAUAAAUCAAGAUUCAUGUGAUCAGGAGACCUUUUAGAAACAUCCAAACCACUAUCUGAGCAGAGGUACCAUCAUCAUUGGGUCUCAUUUGCAAAUCCACUUUAUCUGUGCAUGUGUGCCCUCAGUAAUUUAUUGCUUAUUUCAAGAUGAAGUGACAGUGAGUAUAACUUGACCUUUAAGGAAAGGGGUAACAUUCUUGUAUAAGACUGUCCUCCAUGGCAAUCUUUUUACAGGAAAUGUCUGGCCAAUGGCUCUAAACUGUGUUGUUUUUCCAGGCUGCAAGCCCCUUGAGGGCCUGUGUCUCCCUCGGUGUAUUGUAAAUGUCAAUCACACAGAGCACACUCAAUAAAUAAAUAAUACUGUUUUUGUUACUGUUGUGUGAUGUUACCCUUGCCAGAGGAAUUCUAGUGGAGCAGAGAUCUAAAUGCAUACAAACCAAAAAAGCUAACUGCUCCUCUUUAUCUAUGCAGAGGACAGGAAACCUUAUGAGAUCAGAUUGCUGAGCAGGUUGGAUAUUACUUCUUUGUUACGUUUUUACCACUGCAGAUUGAAUACUUGAUCUGUUUUAAAGUUAUUCAGCAGAGUGCAGAGAAAACAGUAAUGGAGCUCCAAACAGUUACGGACUGGGGCAAUGCAAACAUGGAUAUAAUGACCAGUAUUAGGAAUGAAUUCAGUAGGCAAGUUUUUUUUCAAAAUAAUGGACCUGACUUGAUUCAGGAAAAUGCCAAAACGUAUGCCUGACACUUAAUUUUGACUUCAAGAGGAGCUAAGCUUAAGCUGCCUUGAAUAACCAUGUUCUCUUGAAUACGGGCCUUUUGUGCUGUGCCCAGAGCUGGCAUUGGCCAAAGGGAAUUCAGUGGGUGCUCAACAGCUCGGAGGAUUAAGCCCAUUCUGUGAGUAGUGAAAAUACUGUACUUCGUUACGGUCACACUGAUGAACCUGACUCCAGCCUGCUAACUAAAGAUUAGGGCUGAAAUAGUGCAAAUAGUGUGCUGAAAUGCUGGAGGUCUCUCUGGCCUUUCUAAAGAAAGUAUUGAAAUAUUCUCAAAUUUCUUUGCAAAUUGCUGGCUAUCUACAAGUUAUCCACAGUAUUUCUACAAUUUCAUACAUGCAUUUUUUUCAAGAUAAAGCAGAGAACAGGCUCUUCAUUCUGAACUGCUUAUAAAGUAAGGAGAUACCUUUUUUUCAUUUACGCUGAUAAAAAUCAGGAAGUCAGUAGCAUUCCACUGGCAUAAAUUAGAGCAAAAUUAGAUCUGAUACCUGAUUUGGGACAUAGAGAAACCCUUCCCACAAAGGAGCGUUGGAAAGGGUCGUUUGAAUAGCCUCAACUUGCCUCUCUGCAGCUGGUGGGAAGGGUUAUGGCCAGCCCCAGGUCCCCAGCGAACCUCACAUUGCCAGAGCCUUGUACCUCAGGCGGCAGCACUCGCUUCAGCAAAGGUCAGUACUGCUGUAGGACCAGUGUCUGAUCCGGUCUGGUUCCUUCUUUAUCCCACAAACUGUAAUACAAGGAAAUGUAAUGAAGUGCAGAAAACAAAAAUCCUGCCACUGGUGAGGAGGCGGCAUUCGCCGCGUUUCCCGCUGAGAAGGGGCAGUACGGCCGCUAGGAGCCGCUGCCGCACACGCAAUGCGCUGAACACUGCUAGAGGGGGAGAGGGAAGAAAUACUUCAAAGCACACUAGACCGUGGCACAUUUUUUGUAGGCAUUUGGAGAAGAAAUGUACGAGACUGUUGUGUUGAGUGAAACAGUAACUCACAGUUUUCAGUAAUUUGGGAGGACUACUUUAGCACUAUAAAAAAUGCAGUGCCUUUUAGUUUUAUAUAAAUUACUAAACCAGGAAUUUGCUUCUCUGAUCUAGAAUAUUGACUGCUGGGAUUGUGGUAACAAAAAGAUCUGUGUUUCUGUGUGUGGAAGGGCUUAGCCUGCUCAAUAAUAUGACUUAAACAUAUAUUGAAAAAACUUCCAGGAUAAACUGAAAUUAAAAUUCAGGGAUGUAAUUAAAUGGAGAAAUUAGAAAUACUCCUGGGAAUUCAAGUAAUGAUAUUUUCUAUGUCUGGACAGAAAUCUGAUAGGUUUAAUGGUGAUUCCAGUUUGAAACUAAGAUGUUGGAAAAGCUUUUUCUGGAGCUGUGUUGAAGGACUUCCAAAAAUAUGAAGAUUAACUGCAAACUUCAUUUAUGUGUUUAUAUUUGCUUGUCGCUGUAGCAAAACUCCAGAUGCUUUGUAGCUUUAUCACUCUCUGCAGUGAUUCUGGAUUCCAUGAGUGCUUGGAUUGUUCAAUUGCCGUAAGAUAUUAUUGUCUUCUGCUGUCUUGUUAUGAUUUCUGCCAUAAAAUGAAGAAUGUGAAAAUUAGUAAAACAAUGUAGGAUUUUUA